CCAUGUGUAUAAACUAUAAGGUGCUUUUAAUGAAAACAAUAUUAUUAUAUUAAAUAACCAAUACUGUGUUUUUAAUUAUAACAUAGGCGCAAGAAAGCUUUCCACUAGUUGUAAGUUUCUUGGGAUAAAAGAGAAAUUAAACUGGCAUGAGUUUUUACGAAGAAAGGAAAAGAAAAGAAUCAAAAACGUAAAUAUAAAAGCAUUUCACCAAGAAAAAACUUUCCCCCAAGUAUUAAACUGCCAUGUUAUUUUAUGAGGAAAGGAAGUGAAAUGAACCAGGAAAGUAAAUAUAAAAGCAUUUAACGAAAAAACUAAAAAACUUCCCAGCAAGUUGUAAUUUCCUUAGAACAAAUAAAAAAUUAAACUGGCAUGUUAUUUUAUGAAGAAAUGAAAUGAAAUGAAUCAGAAAUGUAAAUAUAAAAGUCAGUCUCACAUUUACUAUAAACUAAUUUUACGUAGUAUCAUACUGGUUGUGUAUUUUUAAAAGUACAAUUACAACCAUUCACUUUUGUAUUGUAAAAAUAUAAUUUGUCAUUAAUAUAUGGAUAAUAUAUAGAUAAGUAAAUGUUGGACAUAUAGAUUAAUAAAUUUUAAAUUUUAUCUUAUUGUACUUAUCUUAUCUGUUCACAAUUGUUGUGCAAGUGUUUAAUUUAAAUAUAUUUUUGGCUAUUUAAAUAUGAUCAUUUAUCACCAAGGUGUCUUUUCUGUUUUAAAUGUUGUCACAAUUGGUAUCAAUCUACAAGAACCAAUUCCAACAAACGUUGACCAAUAAACCCAAACAACUAUACAACAACUAUGGACAACUAUGGUCGCAAAAGCCUCAACCUUCACAAUCUACAAUAUUUUUCUCUCACAAUAAUUUAAUGUAUGAGUUGUAUUAUUCUGUAUUUUUUAACUAGAAACACAAA